GGCUAGGUGGUAGAGUGGUUAUACAACGGCCUGCAAAGCCGUGUACACCGGUUCGAUUCCGGUCCUAGCCUCCA
rnacentral:tRNA from 2 species